rnacentral:rRNA from 1 species
UACGUAGGGGGCUAGCGUUGUCCGGAAUCAUUGGGCGUAAAGAGCGUGUAGGCGGCUUGGUAAGUCCGCUGUGAAAGUCCAGGGCUUAACCCUGGAAUGCCAGUGGAAACUGCCAAGCUAGAGUCCGGAAGAGGUGAGUGGAACUCCUGGUGUAGCGGUGAAAUGCGCAGAUAUCAGGAAGAACACCAAUGGCGAAGGCAGCUCACUGGGACGGUACUGACGCUGAGACGCGAAAGCGUGGGGAGCAAACAGG